UCCCUGGUGGUCCAGUGGUUAAGGAUCUGCUUUGCAAGGCAGGGGACACGGGUUCGAUCCCUGGCCGGGGAA
rnacentral:tRNA from 1 species